rnacentral:rRNA from 1 species
UGGGGAAUAUUGCGCAAUGGGGGAAACCCUGACGCAGCGACGCCACGUGCGGGAUGAAGGCCUUCGGGUUGUAAACCGCUUUUGAUUGGGAGCAAGCUUUCGGGUGAGUGUACCUUUCGAAUAAGCGCCGGCUAACUACGUGCCAGCAGCCGCGGUAAUACGUAGGGCGCAAGCGUUAUCCGGAAUUAUUGGGCGUAAAGAGCUUGUAGGCGGUUCGUCGCGUCUGGUGUGAAAGCCCAUCGCUUAACGGUGGGUUUGCGCCGGGUACGGGCGGGCUAGAGUGCAGUAGGGGAGACUGGAAUUCCCGGUGUAACGGUGGAAUGUGUAGAUAUCGGGAAGAACACCAAUGGCGAAGGCAGGUCUCUGGGCUGUUACUGACGCUGAGAAGCGAAAGCGUGGGGAGCGAACAGG